rnacentral:rRNA from 1 species
CUUCGGUACAUCGGUGACAGGUGGUGCAUGGUUGUCGUCAGCUCGUGUCGUGAGAUGUUGGGUUAAGUCCCGCAACGAGCGCAACCCCUAUUGUUAGUUGCCAUCAUUCAGUUGGGCACUCUAGCGAGACUGCCGGUAAUAAACCGGAGGAAGGUGGGGAUGACGUCAAAUCAUCAUGCCCCCUUAUGACCUGGGCUACACACGUGCUACAAUGGUUGGUACAACGAGUUGCGAGUCGGUGACGGCGAGCUAAUCUCUUAAAGCCAAUCUCAGUUCGGAUUGUAGGCUGCAACUCGCCUACAUGAAGUCGGAAUCGCUAGUAAUCGCGGAUCAGCACGCCGCGGUGAAUACGUUCCCGGGCCUU